GAUGAACGCUGGCGGCGUGCCUAAUACAUGCAAGUCGAGCGAACAGACGAGGAGCUUGCUCCUCUGACGUUAGCGGCGGACGGGUGAGUAACACAUGGAUAACCUACCUAUAAGACUGGGAUAACUUCGGGGAACCGGAGCUAAUACCGGAUAACAUGUUGAACCGCAUGGUUCAACAGUGAAAGACGGUUUUGCUGUCACUUAUAGAUGGAUCCGCGUCGCAUUAGCUAGUUGGUAAGGUAACGGCUUACCAAGGCAACGAUGCGUAGCCGACCUGAGAGGGUGAUCGGCCACACUGGAACUGAGACACGGUCCAGACUCCUACGGGAGGCAGCAGUAGGGAAUCUUCCGCAAUGGGCGAAAGCCUGACGGAGCAACGCCGCGUGAGUGAAGAAGGUCUUCGGAUCGUAAAACUCUGUUAUUAGGGAAGAACAAAUGUGUAAGUAACUAUGCACGUCUUGACGGUACCUAAUCAGAAAGCCACGGCUAACUACGUG
rnacentral:rRNA from 1 species